rnacentral:rRNA from 1 species
UACAGAGGUGGCAAGCGUUGUUCGGAAUUACUGGGCGUAAAGGGCGCGUAGGCGGCUUGGUCAGUCCCGUGUGAAAUCCCUCGGCUUAACCGGGGAACUGCAUCUGAUACUGGAUGGCUUGAGAUUGGGAGAGGGAUGCGGAAUUCCAGGUGUAGCGGUGAAAUGCGUAGAUAUCUGGAGGAACACCGGUGGCGAAGGCGGCAUCCUGGACCAACACUGACGCUGAGGAGCGAAAGCCAGGGGAGCAAACGGG